UACGGAGGGUGCAAGCGUUAUCCGGAUUCACUGGGUUUAAAGGGUGCGUAGGCGGGCAGGUAAGUCCGUGGUGAAAUCUCUGAGCUUAACUCAGAAACUGCCAUGGAUACUAUUUGUCUUGAAUAUUGUGGAGGUGAGCGGAAUAUGUCAUGUAGCGGUGAAAUGCUUAGAUAUCAAGAGGAACACCUGAGGUGAAGACGGGUUGCUGGGCCGACACUGACGCUGAUGCGCGAAAGCCAGGGGAGCAAACGGG
rnacentral:rRNA from 1 species